AUGGCUUUGGGCCGCUGGUUCUUCUGGGCCCUGUGGCUACCGCUGAUACUCGUGGUCACCGCGGCUAGGGAACAGAGAGAAGGCUGCUCGGACUCGGCCAAGAGAUGCGGCAACAUGAGCAUCUCCGGCCCAUUCUGGCUCAGGGAUAACGUGGCGGAUUCCUCAGAUUUGGAGGUCAUUUGCUUUAACAACACCACUCCAGUUUUACGGAGCUCCAGUUUAACAACACCACUCAUGUGGUUCCUCAGGUGUGUACACGAUUGGAGGCUACGGCGAGGGAUACUUUUACCCAACAUGGGUGGCAGCAUGAUCUAA
rnacentral:rRNA from 1 species